rnacentral:rRNA from 1 species
GAUGAACGCUGGCGGCGUGCUUAACACAUGCGAGUCGAACGGAAAGGCUCCUGCUUGCAGGGGUACUCGAGUGGCGAACGGGUGAGUAACACGUGGGUGAUCUGCCCUGCACUUCGGGAUAAGCCUGGGAAACUGGGUCUAAUACCGGAUAGGACGAUGGUUUGGAUGCCAUUGUGGAAAGUUUUUCGGUGUGGGUUGAGCUCGCGGCCUAUCAGCUUGUUGGUGGGGUAAUGGCCUACCAAGGCGUCGACGGGUAGCCGGCCUGAGAGGGUGUACGGCCACAUUGGGACUGAGAUACGGCCCAGACUCCGACGGGAGGCAGCAGUGGGGAAUAUUGCACAAGGGGCGCAAGCCUGAUGCAGCGACGCCGCGUGGGGGAUGACGGCCUUCGGGUUGUAAACUCCUUUCGCUAGGGACGAAGCGUUUUGUGACGGUACCUGGAGAAGAAGCACCGGCUAACUACGUG